rfam:Erwinia carotovora subsp. atroseptica SCRI1043, complete genome
GACAGCCUGAGAUAAUGAGCUGACGCCUAAAGCCAAUGCGGUGAACCAGAUUAUUUUUUUCGUCAUUGUGUCAUCAUCAAUGUUAAGGGUCUUUUUCUUUGUCGGGAAAAAGACCGUUGAUCACGGCCUGUGAAUGGCAAUCAAGCCACCGUCUUUUCUGUAAACAGGUUCUCUUGUGCAAAUCGCGUUUCAUGGACAGACGGUGUCUUGCCCUGAUGUCCGGUUUUUUCCGUCAGCGCAGUGCCCGGCUGUUCUGUUGCGGCGCGUCUCCCCACAUAGCGCGGGAUGAAUGACACGACCCACACCACGAUGUUGAGGAAGGCCAGAAUAAUAUUGCGUAUGACUGGCGGUGCGUAAUCCGCCAAGCGCAGGUAGCCGCGAAAGCCGAGUGCCAGUACAUCAACCAGACUUUCGACUGGUUUAUCCUGCGGGAAGCUGUCUUGCCAGAGCGCCCAGGUAUCGGCGCGGGCAAAGGUACAU